GACAGCAGUCGCCGCGGUAAUACGUAGGUCCCGAGCGUUGUCCGGAUUUAUUGGGCGUAAAGCGAGCGCAGGCGGUUAGAUAAGUCUGAAGUUAAAGGCUGUGGCUUAACCAUAGUACGCUUUGGAAACUGUUUAACUUGAGUGCAAGAGGGGAGAGUGGAAUUCCAUGUGUAGCGGUGAAAUGCGUAGAUAUAUGGAGGAACACCGGUGGCGAAAGCGGCUCUCUGGCUUGUAACUGACGCUGAGGCUCGAAAGCGUGGGGAGCAAACAGGAUUAGAUACCCCCGUAGUCCCUGUCUCUUAUACA
rnacentral:rRNA from 1 species